rnacentral:lncRNA from 1 species
GGAGGAGCUCUAUCCAGAGAGAGCAACUAAGGAGGAGGUUUCACAAAGCUCCUCCAAACAUUCAAAAAGGCCCAAUUUGGCAAAAAGAAAAGCCAAAAAAUGUUCCGAGCCAAAAGCAACAGUAGAGAUUGAGGAUACAGCAGAAGAAUGUCAAGAUAAGAGCUGCAGUGAAGCAGAGAAUGUUUUCACAUAUCUUGAGUUUGAUUCCACACCUGCCUAGCCUCUUUUUUGUUUGUUUACCACAGUAUAUAGAUAACCACCCAGGAUAAAAUAAUGUUUUAAAGGGAUAGUUCAUCCAGAAAUGAAAAUUGGCAGCAUUUACUCACAAUCAUGUCACUCCAAGCCUGUAUGAAUAUAUUUUGUGGAACGCAAAAGAAGAUAUUUUGAAGAAUGUUGACAUUCAUUGAGACGUUUCUGAAAAUAUCUUCUGUUGUGUUCCAUUAAAGAAAGUCAUACAGGUUUGGGAUGACAAGCUUUUGGUGAAAUAUCCCCUUUUUCUACCAGACAAACCAUUUUUUAAAACAAAAUUUUCCAUUAAACAAACUCAGAGACACCAGUGUUUCAUUAGUGAUAACUUAAAUGAAUAUUAAUAGGGAUACAUUUUUUUGUUGUUGUUAUAGUUGAAGAUCAUCCGUCUUGCAGAGGAACAGCUCCAGAAUCAGCCAGUAGUUGUUCUGGAAAGAACUCAUCCAAGGCUAAAAGAUUCACACAGCUCAUGUGAAAGCCAAGACCAACCACAGUUCUCCCAGAGCCCACAGCAUUCUCCUGGACGGCAGAUGAGAACAGAAAAGGUCAAACGCAAUCUGACUGCUUCCGGUGAUGGUAGUGAAGUCUCGACAGCAGGCCCCAGUGUUAAAGAGGAUCAAGGGGUGAAGCUCAUUCCAGAGAGCUCAACUAAGGAGGAGAUUUCACAAAGCUCCUCCAAACAUUCUCCUGGGCGGCAGACGAGAGCAGAAAAGGUCAAGCACAAUCUGACUGCUUCAGAAGGGGAUCAGAUAGACCAGUGUCAUACUGGCUCACAUCCAUCACCAGAGGGCAUGAGCAGCACUGCCAUCAAUUGGGCAUCCAAGACUCUAAAGAGAUGGAGGCUGAUCAACGCAUGGAGGAGGUCAGACAUUACUGACAAGAGCAGAUGUGUUGGUGUCUCAUGACGAAGUGAAGCACUACCUCAGUAGUCAAGCACAAACCACUGCAGAGGAAUCAACAACCUCUGAGAGUCCGCAGGACAGCACCUGCCAGAGGCCAUCAUGUCAGUACUGGAGGAGUUUGUUCUUUGUGUGAUCUGUUAUUGUUUGUGCAUUGCUCAAAUAGUA